rnacentral:rRNA from 31 species
UUGGGGAUUUAUAUAAAAGGUUGGGCCUGCCCGGUGAUCUGAAAUGGUUUAACGGCUGCGAUUGAAACCGUACUAAGGUAGCAUAAUAAUUUGCCCUUUAAUUGGGGGAGAGAAUGAAUGGUUUGACGGUAAAAAAGCUGUUUUAAAAAUAAAAAAAGAAGUUAACUUUUAAGUGAAAAGGCUUAAGUUUUUAUAAAAGACGAGAAGACCCCGUCGAGCUUAAUUAGAAUAACUUAAAUGUAGGUUAUUUAAAAUUUUAUUGGGGCAAUAGAAAAUGAAAUGAAUCAUUUUUUUUAUUAUAAGGAUCCAGUUUUGACUGAAAAAAGCAAAAGCUACCGCGGGGAUAACAGGGUAAUUUUUUCUGAGAGUUCAUAUUUAAGAAGAAGUUUGCUACCUCGAUGUUGGAUUAGAAUUUCUUUAUGCUUGCAGCAGGUAUAAUAGU